rnacentral:rRNA from 1 species
UACGGGGGGGGCAAGCGUUGUUCGGAAUUACUGGGCGUAAAGGGCUCGUAGGUGGCCAACUAAGUCAGACGUGAAAUCCCUCGGCUUAACCGGGGAACUGCGUCUGAUACUGGAUGGCUUGAGUUUGGGAGAGGGAUGCGGAAUUCCAGGUGUAGCGGUGAAAUGCGUAGAUAUCUGGAGGAAUACCGGUGGCGAAGGCGGCAUCCUGGACCAUAACUGACGCUGAGGCGCGAAAGCUAGGGGAGCAAACGGG